UACAGAGGUCUCAAGCGUUGUUCGGAUUCAUUGGGCGUAAAGGGUGCGUAGGUGGCUCGCUAAGUCAGACGUGAAAUCCCUCAGCUUAACUGGGGAACUGCGUCUGAGACUGGCGAGCUUGAGUGCAGGAGAGGAACGCGGAAUUCCAGGUGUAGCGGUGAAAUGCGUAGAUAUCUGGAGGAACACCGGUGGCGAAGGCGGCGUUCUGGACUGCAACUGACACUGAGAAACGAAAGCCAGGGGAGCAAACGGG
rnacentral:rRNA from 1 species